GCCUCCGUGGUGUUAUGGUUAACACGCUCGGCGCGUAUUCGAUAGGUCCAGGUUCGAGACCCGGUGAGGGCA
rnacentral:tRNA from 1 species